rnacentral:tRNA from 1 species
GCACGAUUAGCUCAGCUGGAUAGAGCGUUGGCCUCCGGAGCCAAAGGUCGCAGGUUCGAAUCCUGCAUCGUGCGCCA